rnacentral:rRNA from 1 species
GACGAACCGUACAAACGUUAUUCGGAAUUACUGGGCUUAAAGGGUGCGUAGGCGGCGGUGCAAGUUGGGUGUGAAAUCCCUCGGCUCAACCGAGGAACUGCGCUCAAAACUGCAUCGCUUGAGGGAGAUAGAGGUGAGUGGAACUUAGGGUGGAGCGGUGAAAUGCGUUGAUAUCCUAAGGAACACCAGUGGCGAAAGCGACUCACUGGGUCUCUUCUGACGCUGAGGCACGAAAGCUAGGGUAGCGAACGGG